AGUACGCCCGUGACAACCGGGGAGCCGUGAACGACGCACGCAAAUUUCUCCGCCUCUCGACCCGACCCGACCCGCUUUCCUCCGACGCCGUCUCCCUCUCCUGCGAUCUCCUCUACGACGAGCGACGCCACCUGCCUCAUCUCUCCUUGGCACCAGCAGCGACCCCGCCGCUCGCCUUCUCCGAGUCCUGAAUAGCUUGCUGCCGGUAGGGGCCAUUAAUCAGCUUCUGAGGAAACUAUUCAGAGCCAGUCUUCUUCUGUUCUACGGUUGUACUAGGGCGGAUCUCCUUCUCACAGGCGGAGAUUCCUGUUUGUCUGCGGCGCACUAUAGCUGGCGGUCCUCCAUAGCCAUGGAUCACAAAAGCCUGUGGGUGUCCUUUCUUCCACUAAAAACACAUAUCAAGGGCCUAGCCCCAGCCUCAGAUUCAGAUAAAGCAGAUAUAGUCGAUGAGGCGAUAACUUUCUUCCGAGCAAAUGUUUUCUUCAAAAACUAACAUGUCAAAAGCCCAGCAGACAAGUUGCUUAUCUAUCUGACAUCUUACAUCAAUAUUGCCUUGAAAAGACUAGAAAGCUGCCGGACACUGGCUGUUGGAACUAAGGCAAUCAUUAACCUGGGGUUGGAAAAUGUCCCUGUGCCCGGGGAACCAGGGUUUCCUUUCCCUGGACUUUUCACUCUUCCAUUUCGAGAUGACGUGGUAUAUUGUAGUAACUGGGUUAUGCGGUACUAAUGGACCAUUGCAAUCCUUUUAUCUCAUAUGCCAUUUUAUUAAGACUACCCACAGUGGGAGUAAUAUAAGUGGUAACAUCACACAUCUCUAGACAAAACAGAUGAUUUUUGUAUCUAAGCUAAACCUUGGUCAAUUAAGAUCAAUUAUUAAGGCUGCUACA